UUUUAGUACAUUUCAUAGGGUAAAAUCAUUCUUAGGGUAAAAUGUAUACAGCCAUUGACAUAUAUAAAGACGUGAAAUAAAUUAUCACUAAAAAUGUGGCAUAUAAAUACUUGUUACCGUUAUGAAGCUUACAUCCCUACACAAAAAUGCUAUUUACUUUUAGAAACAUUUUGUGUGUCGCAGUUUUACUGAUUAAGGUGUGGAUUUGAGGUGGACACAAAUAGCACUUUUUUAUUUUAUUUAAUUUUUUUUUGUUUUAAGUUAAUUUCUGACGUGUUAAUAAUUACAUUUUAAGAAUCAAUAAUCAUUUCUAAGAUCCAUGAAAACGUAGGUCGCGAAAAGAUAAAUAGGAUGAUCUCAGAUGGAAAAACAAUUGUACGGCAUUCACAAGUUAUGUUCUUAACCCUAGUUGAACUAAAAAAGUUCUUAAUCCUAGACAGACCACCAUCAGUCGCGAUUUCUUGGUAUGGUGUUGUGCAAAUUGAUCACAUAAAAGAGAUCACACCUGAUUUGACCCGCAUUUUCAUGCACACCAAACUUUAUCAGCCUAACAAUACGUCCUAAUGUCGCAUACAAAAUUGGCUUUUGUCCAGGAGUAUUUUUAUGCAUAAACGACAUUGAUUGUCUUAUUUUUGAAACCACGCCCAUAGGAACAUCAACGAGUCUUGCAAUUUAUCUAUGCAUUGUGUUUAAAUCAAUAAACCUUUUAAAAUUUUCCAUUAUUGUUGUAUUUAGUUCUUUCAUCUAUAGUAAAGCCAAAUUUAAGGAAAUAACAAAGAAAAAAUACUAAAAUUUUACUAAAAACUUGAAUCUACCGAUCCCACCACUAUUAAUUACAGAAUAAAAGUAAAAACUUGAAUAGUGGAGCAAUAUUAAAGCGCCCAAUACUUCUUUAUUUCACUGAUCACAUGGCUUUAUCUGCAUUUGUAAAUUUUCUUUGAAAAGUAACGGCACAUCUCCAGUGAUUCCGCACUUACUAACUGUCAUUUCAUAGGCCUACUUAGUGAACUUAACUUUUUUACUCAAAAGUUUAUUUUAACUAAGAAAGAACAUAUAUUGUAUUUUGAAAAGUAUGUGAUCAAUAGUUGACAUACUGUAUGUACAUAUGCAAUAUUUGUAAAGGGUGUUUUUUAGACAAGUGGUUUUCAAAAAAGAAAUAUAUAUAUAUAUAUAUAUAUAUAUAUAUAAUUUAAUGGUAUGGACGAGUUUAGCUUUAUUAUAAAGAAAAGGGUUUGUAAUAAAAAUACAAAUAAUUCACAAGCACAAAUAGUUGAUUUAUGUAUGGCUACAUCAGACUGAAAAUAGUUACACAUAUCGCUCAUUCAUGUAGAAUAGUGUCAGAACUCAAAAAAGUUGAUUUUUCAGGAGAGCGUUUUAAAGUUUUCUAUUGUCUCUUAUUUGGAAAAUAAAGUUUAUUGAAUAAACUAGCGGCAUGUAACAUAUUUAAUAAAAUGCUGAACAUACAUAAGUGGAUUAAAAAAGAGUGUAUGUACUUUUUGUAGGCAUAAAUGAGACCCCUUUUGAAUUAUGUCUUUAUUUGUGAAAAAUAUAAAACAAUUUCCAAGUCAUAAGAUAAAUGUGUCGUUAUUCCUGAAAAAAGCAACGUGAAAAAUGUAAUUAUCUUUUCAGAAAUAUCGUUGUAACACAAAAUAUGACGUUCUUUUUAAAAAGAAAAUCAAAUUCACCCAAUGACAAUAUGUGCCGUAACACAAAAUAUGUCGUUAUUUCUUAAAAAAAAAUAUAUAUAUGUAACUAAUUCUGGCACAACUGAGAAGUGUCGUAAUUGUGGUUAAAAAAUAAUGCAACAUAACAACUCGAUUUUUCAGGUUCAUAACGUCACAUUCUUAUUUAAAGGUUUAUUUUUCUACCUAUAAUAUAAUUGUUACACAAUAUGGUCGGUGACAUUGCGCAAAUUUCUGUAUACUCAACUAAAAUCGUGUUUUGUGAGUUAUGACAGUAUUCAUGUAAAUGAGCGAUAUUUCUCCAACAGAAGAAAAACUAUUUAUAAUAAUUAUUGUUUUAGCUUUUCUUUAAUCUUUUUAAAUAUUUAAUAUGUACAAAGUUUUAUUUUUCUGGCGAGUUCAACAAUUACUGUUAAUUGUUAAUGCCAGACGCACCUAUUAUUGCAACAACAUACAUACAUUAUGAUCAAUAUUUUCAUUCGCAAAAUGUUAUCUUUAACUUUUCCUCAAGAUAGUAAGUCUUGAUUAAAAACUCAUAGAAAACUUUCUGCAAAUGAGAAUAGAAAUGCGCUUCA